UACGUAGGGACCGAGCGUUGUCCGGAUUCAUUGGGCGUAAAGAGCUCGUAGGCGGCCACUCAAGUCGAAUGUGAAACCUCGAGGCUUAACCGCGAGCCUGCAUUUGAUACUGGGCGGCUAGAGUCUGGUAGGGGGAUCUGGAAUUCCUGGUGUAGCGGUGGAAUGCGCAGAUAUCAGGAGGAACACCGGUGGCGAAGGCGGUUCUCUGGGCCUGUACUGACGCUGAGGAACGAAAGCGUGGGGAGCGAACAGG
rnacentral:rRNA from 1 species